UCCCUGGUGGUCCAGUGGAUAAGACAUCGCACUCCCAAUGCAGGGGGCCUGGGUUCCAUCCCUGGUCACGGAA
rnacentral:tRNA from 1 species